rnacentral:rRNA from 1 species
GACGAAGGGGGCUAGCGUUGUCCGGAAUUACUGGGCGUAAAGAGCUCGUAGGUGGUUUGUCGCGUUGUUCGUGAAAACCUGAGGCUUAACCUUGGGCGUGCGGGCGAUACGGGCAGACUGGAGUACUGCAGGGGAGACUGGAAUUCCUGGUGUAGCGGUGAAAUGCGCAGAUAUCAGGAGGAACACCGGUGGCGAAGGCGGGUCUCUGGGCCGAUACUGACGCUGAGGAGCGAAAGCGUGGGGAGCGAACAGG